UCGCUAUCGCACAUGACACAGAUUAUUUCGAUUUCCGUGUAACACUGAUCCACAAGUAGAGAAAUGGAUAAGCCACUGUGGAAAUAACCGGUUGCACACCAGUUCGGCUAGAUCGGUUCGUGACUCGGGUUUAUGCGAAACGCAUUUUUAACCGCAGGACUUCAACAAUGCUACGAAAACUCGCCUGCUACCACACGCAAUUCCCGUGCCGUGGGACACCUUUACCAGUAGCGAUGGUACGGUUCCGCCGAAGCCACAAAAUUCCGUUUUCACGUGGCCAUGCUGCGACUGGUAUUAAGGAUAUGGUAUACACCUUAGGGGC